rnacentral:rRNA from 1 species
UACGAAGGGGGCUAGCGUUGCUCGGAAUCACUGGGCGUAAAGCGCACGUAGGCGGCUUUUUAAGUCAGAGGUGAAAUCCUGGAGCUCAACUCCAGAACUGCCUUUGAUACUGGAGAGCUUGAGUCCGGGAGAGGUGAGUGGAACUGCGAGUGUAGAGGUGAAAUUCGUAGAUAUUGGGAAGAACACCAGUGGCGAAGGCGGCUCACUGGUCCGAUACUGACGCUGAGGUGCGAAAGCGUGGGGAGCGAACCGG